GAUGAACGCUGGCGGCGUGCUUAACACAUGCAAGUCGAACGGUGAACUUGGGAGCUUGCUCCUGGGGGAUCAGUGGCGAACGGGUGAGUAACACGUGAGUAACCUGCCCCAGACUCUGGGAUAAGCACUGGAAACGGUGUCUAAUACCGGAUACGAGCUUCAGCCGCAUGGCUAGGAGCUGGAAAGAAUUUCGGUCAGGGAUGGACUCGCGGCCUAUCAGCUAGUUGGUGAGGUAACGGCUCACCAAGGCGACGACGGGUAGCCGGCCUGAGAGGGUGACCGGCCACACUGGGACUGAGACACGGCCCAGACUCCUACGGGAGGCAGCAGUGGGGAAUAUUGCACAAUGGGCGCAAGCCUGAUGCAGCAACGCCGCGUGAGGGACGACGGCCUUCGGGUUGUAAACCUCUUUUAGUAGGGAAGAAGCGAAAGUGACGGUACCUGCAGAAAAAGCACCGGCUAACUACGUGCCAGCCGCCGCCGGGUAACAC
rnacentral:rRNA from 1 species